UACGUAGGGUGCGAGCGUUAAUCGGAAUUACUGGGCGUAAAGCGUGCGCAGGCGGUUAUGUAAGACAGAUGUGAAAUCCCCGGGCUCAACCUGGGAACUGCAUUUGUGACUGCAUGACUGGAGUGCGGCAGAGGGGGAUGGAAUUCCGCGUGUAGCAGUGAAAUGCGUAGAUAUGCGGGGGAACACCGAUGGCGAAGGCAAUCCCCUGGGCCUGCACUGACGCUCAUGCACGAAAGCUAGGGGAGCAAAUGGG
rnacentral:rRNA from 1 species